ensembl:lncRNA
GGCAGAAGUAGAGAUGCAUGAAGUGAGAAGAUGUAUGGCCGUUCCACAUUUAGCUUUCAAGUACUCACCACUACGCUGCUCCCACUAAAUGAUUUAGUGGCAGAACAACAAUCCAUCAGCUCUGUGGAAGGUUAUUAUAAAUGCAUUACCUCCCCAAGCCUACCAGUUCAAUGGAGUCGUGCAGGGCCUCAUAAAUAUGGGUCAAUAUAGGGACACACACAAAAGACUCAGGAUGAAUGAAAUAGGCUUUAUUGUUUUAGUGUGAACUUUCACCCUACCUGUGCGUAGAAGCUCUCAGAUCUGAGGCGGGUCUUUUCAAAUGAAGAGACACACGAACUGAAGACAGGUCUUCACCUUGAUGGCUACACAUCUGGACCUGAGCCCUAGGACCAUGCCUCAGGACUACCUGACAUGAUGACUCCUUGCUGUCCCCAG